GGCGGCCGCCUGGGCGGCGCGCGCGCUGGCCGCGCUGCGCGUGCGGCCCCGCGCGCCGCGCCCGCGCGCGCUGCGCUCCUGUCUGCUCGACUACGUGCGCGCCUUCACCCUGUUCUCCCUCAUUUUCGUCAAGGUGCCGCGCUGGCACGUGGAGAGGCCGGAGUCGCCGCUGUACGGCGCGCUGCGCGAGCUGCCCCGCGCGCCCUUCGAGCUGCCGCGCUGCGUCGCCAAGCUGUGCGUGGCGCUGCGCGACCAAGUGCCGCAGCACGACGACCUCCUCGAGCUGACGAGAGUGUUCCACAUCGCCAACCUGCGGUGCCUGAGCGCAGCGUUGCGCGUGCGCGCGGGCCCCGUCGCGCUGCUGCGCGCCGCGCUGUGCGAGCGCGUGUGGGCGCGCCUCGUGCCCGCCGUGCCCUACCGCCUGCCGGC